AGAACUUGGGACGCUCAUGGAUCCCCGCUCCGCGGCAGCCCUAGGUGGUGGCCGCGCUAGGGGACUGUUCCUCGGCUCUUUCUGCCUUCCUUUGACGGUGCGAGCCAUUCAUUAUUUUCCCUGUAGGUAAUGAGCACAAUGGUGGUUGGGGGGUUGGGUCUGGGCCCGGUGGAGCCUUCCUGAGCCUACAAAAUGUGAGCUGGAGAACAGGAAUACGGAAAAAAGGCAGUGCCCCUGUCCUUGUGGGCACCUUCGACCGUGGUUUAAUGGUUGUGUGCUCUACUCAAAGGCUUCCCAAGAUAACUUGGGAUUUAUUUUUAGCAGCAAAGGACUGUAAAACCAAUUAAGCACCAGCCGAGCUAUUCUAUUAGAGCCUACACAGUCUCAUUUAUUUCAUAUAUUGAGAAUACAGACCAACUUUUUCCAGCUCAAAAUAUCCUUAAGCUUCUUUUCCCCCAAAGAUACUGAAAACCUCAGAACUACCCUAGUGCCACACAGCAUCGUGCUCCUCCAUCAUUUCCUCAGUCAGGCGCCUGAGGACUAGUCAGAACCGAACUGAAGGACGGGACAGUGUAGAAGAUCUCACCGCACUUGGAUGAAUGCAAAGAUACAUUCGUUUGAUGUAUUGGAUAUAAUUCAGACUGUAUUUCAAGUCUACAGUUCUCUCUCUGUCGUAAUAAGGAAAAAAUGAUGUGGUGUUUACUUAACUUAUUCAACAAAUAUUUAUGUCCCUAAAGUGCAGCACUUUGGAGGUAAGAAAUGGACAAGUUUGGUCAGCUCCUUACAAGGAAGCACUCUGUCAUGCAUGUUGUCCUUAAAAACAUCAGUGGUGUGCCCAAGAGGCCCUUAGCAUUCGCCAAUGGCCCAUUUUAUAGCUUUUCUUUGGAGAAUUUAUCUAAAUCCUCCUUUCCCUGUGGGGCACAGUGUGCACAUGGAGGCCAGCAGAG
rnacentral:lncRNA from 1 species